rnacentral:rRNA from 1 species
UACGUAGGGAGCAAGCGUUGUCCGGAAUCAUUGGGCGUAAAGCGCGCGUAGGCGGCCCGGUAAGUCCGUUGUGAAAGUCAAAGGCUCAACCUUUGAACGCCGAUGGAUACUGCCGGGCUAGAGUCCGGAAGAGGCGAGUGGAAUUCCUGGUGUAGCGGUGGAAUGCGCAGAUAUCAGGAGGAACACCAAUAGCGAAGGCAGCUCGCUGGGGCGGUACUGACGCUGAGGCGCGAAAGCGUGGGGAGCGAACAGG